rnacentral:rRNA from 1 species
GAUGAACGCUGGCGGCGUGCUUAACACAUGCAAGUCGAACGGAAAGGCUCCUGCUUGCAGGGGUACUCGAGUGGCGAACGGGUGAGUAACACGUGGGUGAUCUGCCCUGCACUUCGGGAUAAGCCUGGGAAACUGGGUCUAAUACCGGAUAGGACCACAUUUUGGAUGGUGUGGUGGAAAGUUUUUCGGUGUGGGAUGAGCUCGCGGCCUAUCAGCUUGUUGGUGGGGUAAUGGCCUACCAAGGCGUCGACGGGUAGCCGGCCUGAGAGGGUGUACGGCCACAUUGGGACUGAGAUACGGCCCAGACUCCUACGGGAGGCAGCAGUGGGGAAUAUUGCACAAUGGGCGCAAGCCUGAUGCAGCGACGCCGCGUGGGGGAUAACGGCCUUCGGGUUGUAAACUCCUUUCGCUAGGGACGAAGCGUUUUUGUGACGGUACCUGGAGAAGAAGCACCGGCUAACUACGUG